GGCCGCCUGGCGAAAUGGCAUCGCGUCUGACUACGACUUAUGAAGAUGGUAUCAGGAGAUUGCAGGUUCGACCCCUGCGGUGGUCA